AUUUAAAUAGCUUAUUUAGAGCAUAGUAUUGAAGCUACUAAGGAGAUAUUUAUCUUUAAGUA
rnacentral:tRNA from 1 species